CGGAAUAAUAAUAAAAACUAUAAUGAUAUUUUAUAAUAUUUUCGGCUUCGUGAUUUCGGGCAUGAAAGGAAUUUCGGCGUAGGUAUUUGACGCUUCAAGUUAUAGGGGGAGAGAGGAAAUCAUUAAAAUUUAAUUUAAUCCGAACGUAAAAACGCGAACGAUAUUUUUAAAAAUUUUUCAAAUGUAAUUUAACCCGCGGUAUUAUAUAAAGUAUAAAAUAUUCAUACGAUAGUCGAAAAUUCUGCACGUCUCUAGGAUCAGUGGUGCCCAACCUUUCGCCCGACCACGACCUUCAAAUUUAAUUAUUUCGGCGAUCCCCUACUGACGUUACAGGCAAUUUAUAUCCGUACAAACGAAAUCGUUAAUUUUAAGCAAUUCGAUAUUAAUCAUUUUAUUCGAUUCGUUUGAAGUAUAUAAAUAUAAUAAAAAUCAAAUCUCAAAAUUAAUACACAGUUACAGUUGACUUCAAAAAAAAAAAAAAAAAAAUUAAAAUUAUAAAAUAUGACAAACGAUUCAACGAGAAACUUGUGCUUACAUUUUUAUACAUGAUCGAUUCUAAUUCGGGUUUUAUGAUUGAGACUAUCAAUGUUAAAUAAUCCGUUUCGACAUUCAAUCCGGAUCGAUAUUGGUUUUUUUUUGUUAUCGCCGGAGUUUGUCAUUACAUAAUAAUUAAUAGUAUAUACAGUUUCGAUUCGUUUGACAAUAAUUCAUAUAUUAUUAUAAUACUACGUGAACUGUCAAGUUCAAACUCCGAACCAUUUAACAACACAUUUUAAUAGAUUCAACAGAACUUGUUAUCGCGAAAAU